GGGGACACUUUGGGGACAGCCCUGCCAACAGGGGACAGCGGGGACACCCUGGGGACAGCCCUGCCCAGAGGGGACAACGGGGACACCCCAGGGACAGCCCUGCCCGGGGGGGACAGCAGGGACACCCCGGGGACAAGCUGCCACUGCGGGGACAGUGCGGACACCCCGGGGACAAACGGACAUGGCGGGGACACGGCAGGGACAAAGCGACACCCCGGGAACGGCGGGGACACAGCGGGGACACUCCUGCGCCAGGCCCAGCAGCACAGCGAGGUGACAGCGAGGUGACAGCACCGGCCCACCCCGCUGAGGAAGAGGAGGAGGAGCCCGAGGGGGGGGUCGGGGGCACGGGACCCCCCCCCACCGGCACCACCUGAGCCCCCCCGGGAUGGGGACACCGGGGGGGGGGCAGGGGACACCCCAUGGGGGGCUGGGGACAGCAGUGACCCCCCAUGUCCCCCCCUCAGAGCCCCCCAGAGGUGGCCCCUCCCUCCAUGGUGUCACUGUCCCCCCCCAGUGCCCCCCCCCGGUGUCACUGUCCCCCCCCAGUGACCCCCCCGGUGUCACUGUCCCCCCUCAGUGUCCCCCCUCAGUGUCCCCCUAUUUAUACGUGUGUGUGUCCCCCCCGUUUUUAUGCCCCCCCCCUUGUACAGGACCCCCCAAAUAAACCCCACCCUGGAAACCCC